rnacentral:rRNA from 1 species
AAACCAACUGAGAUUACCUUAGUAACGGCGAGUGAAGCGGUAAAAGCUCAAAUUUGAAAUCUGGUACUUUCAGUGCCCGAGUUGUAAUUUGUAGAAUUUGUCUUUGAUUAGGUCCUUGUCUAUGUUCCUUGGAACAGGACGUCAUAGAGGGUGAGAAUCCCGUUUGGCGAGGAUACCUUUUCUUUGUAAGACUUUUUCGAAGAGUCGAGUUGUUUGGGAAUGCAGCUCAAAGUGGGUGGUAAAUUCCAUCUAAAGCUAAAUAUUGGCGAGAGACCGAUAGCGAACAAGUACAGUGAUGGAAAGAUGAAAAGAACUUUGAAAAGAGAGUGAAAAAGUACGUGAAAUUGUUGAAAGGGAAGGGCAUUUGAUCAGACAUGGUGUUUUUUGCAUGCACUCGCCUCUCGUGGGCUUGGGCCUCUCAAAAAUUUCACUGGGCCAACAUCAAUUCUGGCAGCAGGAUAAAUCAUUAAGAAUGUAGCUACUUCGGUAGUGUUAUAGCUUUUUGGAAUACUGUUAGCCGGGAUUG